rnacentral:rRNA from 1 species
UACGAAGGGGACAAGCGUUGUUCGGAAUCAUUGGGCGUAAAGGGCGCGUAGGCGGACCUGUAAGUCGAUUGUGAAAUCCCUGGGCUUAACCCGGGAAUUGCAGUCGAAACUACAAGUCUUGAGUACUGGAGAGGAUGGUGGAAUUCCUGGAGUAGUAGUGAAAUACGUAGAUAUCAGGAGGAACACCGGAGGCGAAGGCGGCCAUCUGGCCAGUCACUGACGCUGAGGCGCGAAAGCAUGGGGAGCAAACAGG